AUGAACAUUGCCGGCGUACAUAUACAAAUAUCGGAAAUUAACCCAUUGCCCUCCAUUUGUUCACACCAUACCUACCUAUAUAGUGCAUCACUCUGCACUGGGUAUUCCAUAGUAGUUGAUUAUUCCAUGAGCACAGUCAUCAAAGUUCGAGAAGACUCUAAAGCGCUUUAUUGCCAUCAACCCUGCAAACUUCAUUAUUAUGAAGAGCUAUAUUCACCAGCAUUGAUUUCUCUCUUAGAUACAAAUGAAAAAAAAAAGACAGAUGAACACCAUGCAAAAGAUCAAAGGGUUCAUUCUCAAGCAGGACAAAAUAGCCAGCAGAGCUUCCAUAUUCAUGUGCAGAUAAAUCAAACUACUACCUAUGCAUAUCGAUAA
rnacentral:rRNA from 1 species